GGGGAAUCUUCCGCAAUGGGCGCAAGCCUGACGGAGCAAGACCGCGUGCGGGAGGACGGCCUAUUGGUUGUAAACCGCUAUUGAUAGGGAAGAAGCUCUAACGGUACCUAUCGAAUCAGCAUCGGCUAACUCCGUGCCAGCAGCCGCGGUAAUACGGAGGAUGCAAGCGUUAUCCGGAAUUAUUGGGCGUAAAGCGUCCGUAGGUGGUUGAUCAAGUCUACUGUUAAAGCGUGCGGCUUAACCGCAUACCAGCAGUGGAAACUGGGCGACUAGAGUGCGGUAGGGGUCAGGGGAAUUCCCAGUGUAGCGGUGAAAUGCGUAGAUAUUGGGAAGAACACCAGCGGCGAAAGCGCGUGACUGGGAAUGAACAGAACUCCCCCGCCCGAAAGAUAGGGGAGCGAAUGGGAUUAGAUACCCCAGUAGUC
rnacentral:rRNA from 1 species